rnacentral:rRNA from 1 species
GACGAACGCUGGCGGCGUGUCUAAUACAUGCAAGUAGAACGCUGAAGAGAGGAGCUUGCUCUUCUUGGAUGAGUUGCGAACGGGUGAGUAACGCGUAGGUAACCUGCCUUGUAGCGGGGGAUAACUAUUGGAAACGAUAGCUAAUACCGCAUAACAAUGGAUGACACAUGUCAUUUAUUUGAAAGGGGCAAUUGCUCCACUACAAGAUGGACCUGCGUUGUAUUAGCUAGUAGGUGAGGUAAUGGCUCACCUAGGCGACGAUACAUAGCCGACCUGAGAGGGUGAUCGGCCACACUGGGACUGAGACACAGCCCAGACUCCUACGGGAGGCAGCAGUAGGGAAUCUUCGGCAAUGGGGGCAACCCUGACCGAGCAACGCCGCGUGAGUGAAGAAGGUUUUCGGAUCGUAAAGCUCUGUUGUAAGUCAAGAACGGGUGUGAGAGUGGAAAGUUCACACUGUGACGGUAGCUUACCAGAAAGGGACGGCUAACUACGUG